UACGUAGGGUGCAAGCGUUAAUCGGAAUUACUGGGCGUAAAGCGUGCGCAGGCGGUUAAGUAAGUUAGGUGUGAAAUCCCCGGGCUCAACCUGGGAACUGCAUUUAAAACUGCUUAGCUAGAGUGUGUCAGAGGGGGGUAGAAUUCCACGUGUAGCAGUGAAAUGCGUAGAGAUGUGGAGGAAUACCAAUGGCGAAGGCAACCCCCUGGGAUAACACUGACGCUCAUGUACGAAAGCGUGGGGAGCAAACAGG
rnacentral:rRNA from 1 species